rnacentral:ncRNA from 1 species
CAAAGGCUUGGUCCUGACUUUACUAUCAGCUUUAGCUAGAUUUACACAUGCAAGUUUCAGCCACCCCGUGAGAAAGCCCUCACUCCAUGCCUUGGAUCAAGGAGCCGGCAUCAGGCACGUACUUACAGCCCAUGACGCCUAGCUUAGCCACACCCUCAAGGGAAUUCAGCAGUGAUAAACAUUAAGCCAUAAGCGAAAGCUUGACUCAGUCAAAGCUAAAAGAGCCGGUAAAACUCGUGCCAGCCACCGCGGUUAUACGAGAGGCUCAAGUUGAUAGACAGCGGCGUAAAGAGUGGUUAGGGAAACUCCGAAACUAAAGUCGAACGCUUCCAUGGCUGUUAUACGCACCCGAAAGCAUGAAGCCCACCUACGAAAGUGACUUUAAAAACCCUGAACCCACGAAAGCUAAGGAACAAACUGGGAUUAGAUACCCCACUAUGCUUAGCCCUAAACAUAGAAUAAACUUUACCUAAUAUACUCCGCCCGGGUAUUACGAGCAUCAGCUUAAAACCCAAAGGACUUGGCGGUGCUUUACAUCCACCUAGAGGAGCCUGUUCUAUAACCGAUAAUCCCCGUUAAACCUCACCUCUCCUUGCUUAAUCCGCCUAUAUACCACCGUCGUCAGCUUACCCUGUGAAGGCCAAAUAGUAAGCUUAAUUGGCAGACCCCAGAACGUCAGGUCGAGGUGUAGUGAAUGGAGAGGGAAGAAAUGGGCUACAUUUGCUUAGUAAGCAAAUACGAAUGCUGUAUUGAAACAUACAACUGAAGGAGAAUUUAGCAGUAAGCAGGGAAUAGAGUGUCCUGCUGAAAACGGCUCUAAAGUGCGCACAUACCGCCCGUCACCCUCACCAAGCACCUGGACCUAAGUACAUUAAGAAAUCUCCAACCGCGAAGGAGAGGAAAGUCGUAACAUGGUAAGCGUACCGGAAGGUGCGCUUGGAAAAAUAUAC